rnacentral:rRNA from 1 species
CCUACGGGAGGCAGCAGUGGGGAAUUUUGGACAAUGGGGGCAACCCUGAUCCAGCCAUUCCGCGUGAGUGAAGAAGGCCUUCGGGUUGUAAAGCUCUUUCGCAAGGGAAGAAAACUUAUGAUCGAAUAAAUCAUGAGGUUGACGGUACCUUGAUAAGAAGCACCGGCUAACUACGUGCCAGCAGCCGCGGUAAUACGUAGGGUGCGAGCGUUAAUCGGAAUUACUGGGCGUAAAGCGUGCGCAGGCGGUUUUGUAAGUCGGAUGUGAAAUCCCCGGGCUCAACCUGGGAACUGCGUUCGAAACUGCAAGGCUAGAGUGUGUCAGAGGGGGGUAGAAUUCCACGUGUAGCAGUGAAAUGCGUAGAGAUGUGGAGGAAUACCAAUGGCGAAGGCAGCCCCCUGGGAUAACACUGACGCUCAUGCACGAAAGCGUGGGGAGCAAACAGGAUUAGAUACCCUGGUAGUCCACGCCCUAAACGAUGUCAACUAGUUGUUGGUAGAGUAAAAUCUAUGAGUAACGUAGCUAACGCGUGAAGUUGACCGCCUGGGGAGUACGGUCGCAAAGNUUAAAACUCAAAGAGAGUGCGNGNGAGAGCGACGACGACGACGACGAGGAGGAGG